rnacentral:rRNA from 1 species
CCCAGACUCCUACGGGAGGCAGCAGCGGGGAAUUUUGGACAAUGGGGGAAACCCUGAUCCAGCCAUCCCGCGUGUGCGAUGAAGGCCUUCGGGUUGUAAAGCACUUUUGGCAGGAAAGAAACGUCAUGGGUUAAUACCCCGUGGAACUGACGGUACCUGCAGAAUAAGCACCGGCUAACUACGUGCCAGCAGCCGCGGUAAUACGU